rnacentral:rRNA from 1 species
UACGGGGGGAGCAAGCGUUGUUCGGAUUUACUGGGCGUAAAGGGCGCGUAGGCGGCCACCGCAAGUCGACUGUGAAAUCUCCGGGCUUAACCCGGAAAGGUCAGCCGAUACUGCGGGGCUAGAGUGCAGAAGGGGCAACUGGAAUUCUCGGUGUAGCGGUGAAAUGCGUAGAUAUCGAGAGGGACACCUGCGGCGAAGGCGGGUUGCUGGGCUGACACUGACGCUGAUGCGCGAAAGCCAGGGGAGCGAACGGG